AUUAUUUAAAAUAUUUUAUAUAUUUUAAAAAAUUUUAAAAUCUUAGUGCAUCAAUUUAUUACAUUCAAAAGCAUGUAGUUCCAUCAUUAUAUUGGCCCCCUUAAGAAAAAUUUUCUGGCUCCACCCUCGCUAGUGAUCACUGUUUCAUCAUCUGCCUCUCUUUUGCAUCAAAGAGACACAGAAAGUAUUCUCAAAAAAAAAAAAAAAAAA
rnacentral:misc_RNA from 1 species